AGGUGUCUAGAAAGAAAUACAUGGAAUCAUGAAUCAUCUCUUAACUCCAACUAGCAGGAUCACAGGAAAAUGAGCUGAAUCUGGUCAAGAAGAAACCUAGAGUGGCAAGCAGGAACUAGAAUUAAGAGCUGCAAGAAAUAGGGAGGGGAGCAGUGACAGGAACAUGGCCACGCCUGAGAGAUAAGGCUGGGCCCUUUACAGGGGCACAGAAUGAGUCAGGAAAUAUGAGCAUUUUGUAUUUCCAAGAAGAAAAAAACCUCCCCAGGUAUAAGGACGUCCUGAGGACCAUGUGACAAACUGAAAUAUGUGAGGGCAGAGAAGGUGGAGACGUCUCAUUCCACAGAGCAGAAAUGUGACUGCCCAAGUUAAAGGGAUAAGGAAACCAUAUCAGGUAAACCAGGUCUCAUAACAUUAAACUUAUUUAUAUUAUUAUUAACUAUUCUUAGU